rnacentral:rRNA from 1 species
CCUACGGGGGGCUGCAGUGGGGAAUAUUGGACAAUGGGGGCAACCCUGAUCCAGCCAUGCCGCGUGUGUGAAGAAGGCCCUCGGGUUGUAAAGCACUUUCAGUGAGGAAGAACGCCUGGUGGUUAAUACCCAUCAGGAAAGACAUCACUCACAGAAGAAGCACCGGCUAACUCCGUGCCAGCAGCCGCGGUAAUACGGAGGGUGCGAGCGUUAAUCGGAAUUACUGGGCAUAAAGCGCGCGUAGGUGGCUUGAUAAGCCGGUUGUGAAAGCCCCGGGCUCAACCUGGGAACGGCAUCCGGAACUGUCAAGCUAGAGUGCAGGAGAGGAAGGUAGAAUUCCCGGUGUAGCGGUGAAAUGCGUAGAGAUCGGGAGGAAUACCAGUGGCGAAGGCGGCCUUCUGGACUGACACUGACACUGAGGUGCGAAAGCGUGGGUAGCAAACAGGAUUAGAUACCCUUGUAGUC